GUGGGCGAUGAGGCCCAAUCGUCUUCGUCUCGAGCCGACAUCUCCAUAGGACUCGUCGAGCUCUCGACAAUUUCUGCACGCUGAGGUCGCGACAUCGAAGAGCUCCGAAAUCGCAGCCGAUCGUUCUCCUUCGGAAAUCGUCGAGAAUCUCUCGAGAGGUCUGAAGCUGGUUGCUGCGGCAAUGUCGCGGGUGUACGUUGGGAAUUUGGACCCGCGGGUGACAGAGCGGGAUCUAGAGGAUGAAUUCCGUGCUUUCGGUGUUCUUAGAAGUGUCUGGGUUGCUCGGAGGCCACCAGGUUACGCAUUUAUUGAGUUUGACGACCGAAGAGAUGCUCUAGAUGCCAUUCGUUCCUUGGAUGGAAAGAAUGGCUGGCGCGUGGAAGUUUCUCACAACAAGGGUGGUGGAGGCCGUGGCGGUGGCGGUGGGCGUGGACGUGGCUAUGGCGGAGGUGAGGACUCCAAGUGUUAUGAGUGUGGUGAGCCGGGUCAUUUUGCCAGAGAGUGUCGCUCGCGCAUUGGUUCGAGAGGCUUGGGAAGUGGACGGCAUAGGAGCCCCAGUCCUCGGCGUCGUAGGAGUCCAAGUUAUGGGAGAAGGAGCUACAGCCCCCGGGAGAGAUCUCCACGCCGCCGCAGCAUCACACCUCCUCGACGUGACCGCAGCUAUAGCCGUUCCCCUCCGCAGCGCCGUGCUAAUCGGGAUUCCCCUUAUGCCAAUGGGGAUUAAGGCUGCAUCUUGGUAGAAGCGCAUGGCUUAUAUUAAAUGGAGUUGGUAAUUGCUGAACCUUCGGCUAUGUAGCCUGGUUUGGAUGAUCGAGUUACGUAUGUUGGUGUCCUGACAGUGAAGUAGUUAGGAACUUGGAUUCGCAUGGCUUCUACAAGUAUUUUAGCAAAGGGUGCAUAGAUGCCACAUGUAUUUGGCUCGGGCUCUUCAGCUACCGAAACUUUGAAGGUUUUCGAUUAUCGGCUCAAACGGCAUGAUUUCGCUACUCAUUUCAUCACUGCUCACGGUUUUCCCCCCUCUGGUUCUCUGCUCCUCUUCACUUCUGCAUCAAAACAUUUUGUAUCUGCAAAGCGAGGAAUCUUCUCAGCCAAUGACUUUUGUGCUCGCUCCAGCAAAACAAAGCUUGUGAUCUAGUUUAGGAGCAUACUUGUUGCUUAGCUUAUUUGAGAGGAUGAAGUUGGUCUUUUGCUUCCUCUGUCUUCACAUCUAAUCACAGCACACGCGUCUCCUUGUUGUUGUGUUGGACUACUCGUACACCUUGGCUCGAGAAUUUGGUGUUAAAAUCAGAUUGUGAAGCUCUCCUCAGUUACUGGAUCUAUUUAUCUCAUAUCAGUAGCUCGGAUGGUGCAAGGUGCAAAUAUACACGCAAGGUGAGUCCUGAUCCUAUGGCUUCUAUGAAAACCUGCCGAGAGUUCCAACCCAUGAGUCAUCUUUUUGUUUACCACCCAAGAGGUCAAAUUAUCUGGAUUACGCUUGGUUUGGAACUUGGUGAGUGCUUUAUUGCAGAGAAAUUGGUUGGUUCCUUUACAGGGGUUGCCUUCCAAAUUCUUUUGUUAAAGGCGCUUAUCUCUAUAUGUUGGCUGGGAAGCAUGUCAAUGGUCACAGAUCUGAUGUACUUGGAAGGUUAGAGAACGGCAUGUCCUACAUGGAUGCUCCGGUUGUCGGAGAUGUUCGUGUUGUUGAGGAUUAUUCUCUGUGUAACGGGGCCUUUAAAAUGCCCAAUCUUAAUUCUGGCAGUCCCCUAAGGAUGUGUUGCUCCAUAUUGUUCGGUUCACCUCGUCUGAAGUUCCCACUAGAGCGCCGGAGAACUGCCCUCUCCAUAUGUAGCCGCUGGAAAGGUCACAACUUUGGUCUCUGCCUGUUCGGGCCCUUUACAAGGCUCGAGGAGUUAAGCAAGCAAAUUUUCCACUUGGGUAUUUGAUCCUGCCAGGGAACCAUCGCUGUCUAAGCUAUUAGCAGUUCAUCAAACUAGUCUGCCACGGAAAGCAGCAUAUGGUCAUGGCAAAAGUACCAGUGUUACUUAGAACAAAACCGUGUGAUUUUCUUUCAGAAAUUGACAGUGCACCAUCGGAGAUGUUCUAGUGCGAUUGUUAAGCUUGAAGCUACAGGCAUAUGGCUUGUAGCAAGUAACAUGAAACAAUUGCCGGAAGGAUAUUUGAAGCAAGAAAAAUAGUUGCCGUAAGGAUCAGUAUAA